AAUUACUCCUUGAUCUUUAUAUCAAUCACAACCCUUUUCUUAACCCUGUUGUUACAAACAGCACGCCAAAUAUAGGCUAUACCGUUUGGUGGCCAAUUUUACAGGAAUACCAACCUAUACAGACUUUAAAAACUUAUACACAGACUGUAGGUAUAGUGUGUCACAUAUUUGCAUAUCAAACUUCAAGUAGUAUCGAAACCGGAAGAUUGAAGAACUUUACACCAUCCAAACAACACACCUAUAGCAUAGCAUUUGGUGGCCAAUUUUACAGGAAUGCUACUUUCAGCAGGUUAGGUGUGUAUAUAAUAUUUGUUAUAAUAGUGUUUGUCUAUUAGAGUUCAUGUAAUUAUACGAGCCAGGUAUAAUAUCAGAUAUAUUUACACCUAUACUCUUGUUUAAGUUAAUAAAUGUAAUCCCUAACACUCCAUGAGUCCAUAGUGUCUUAUCUGGAGUGAUUAUGAAGAGUCGAAACAUGUCACGAAUGAAAUUUGUUCAGGAAUCACAUUCGUUUGCUUAAUCAGAGUAGCGAAACUUUUUGCAGCAUAUAUUGAUGUCGUUUGUAUCUUGUAAGAUACGUUCACAUUAAUGUAUACAUG